GGAGGAGCUAAUCCGGGCAGAAAUCGUGAUGGAUUCUUCAACGUCCAUGUGUAAUUUGACUGAGGUGUUCUAUUUUUCUUCUGGAAACCCUCGCAUCGAAGAAACUAGAGGCGUCAUGCAUCUCUUCUCCAACGAUGUUGCUUCUCACUUACCUGUGGAAAGAAAACCUCUCCUCUGUGUUCUAUGUGUUCCGAAUCACAUGACAUAUUCAGACUUUUGUCAGUUUUGUGGUUCAUUUGUUCAACAUAUGUUGGAAAUGCGAAUUGUCAGGAAUGAUGGUAUGGAAGAUUGUUACAGUAUAUUGAUCAGGUUUGAUGAGCAGAAAGCUGCAGAUACUUUUCACAAGCAUUUUAGUGGUAGAAGAUUUUCAUCUCUUGAGGAGGAGACGUGCGAUGUGCUAUUUGCUG
rnacentral:misc_RNA from 1 species